rnacentral:rRNA from 1 species
AACGGAUUUGGCGGCAAAAUAUCCCAGCUAGAGGAACCUGCCCUAUAAACGAUAUUCCACGAUUAAUUUUACUUUUAUUAGUAACCAGUUUGUAUAUCGCUGUUGUUAGUUAGUUUUCUCAGGAAACUUUCUUUAAUGAUUUAUUUCAUUGACUUCAAGUAAAGGUGCAGCUUAUAUAAAAGAAAGAGGUGGGUUACAUUUAUUAGAUUAAAUGAAUUUAAGCAUGUAAAAGCUAAUGAAAAUGGAUUUAGAAGUAAUUUUUUUAUAACUAAUUUGAUAAGAGCAUUAUUUUGUGUACACACCGCCCGUC